rnacentral:rRNA from 1 species
AUUGAACGCUGGCGGCAGGCCUAACACAUGCAAGUCGAACGAGUGGCGGACGGGUGAGUAAUGUCUGGGAAACUGCCCGAUGGAGGGGGAUAACUACUGGAAACGGUAGCUAAUACCGCAUACCAUCGGAUGUGCCCAGAUGGGAUUAGCUGGUAGGUGGGGUAAUGGCUCACCUAGGCGACGAUCCCUAGCUGGUCUGAGAGGAUGACCAGCCACACUGGAACGGAGACACGGUCCAGACUCCUACGGGAGGAAGCAGUGGGGAAUAUUGCCCAAUGGGCGCAAGCCUGCGGCAGCCAUGCCGCGUGUAUGAAGAAGGCCUUCGGGUUGUAAAGUACUUUCAGCGGGGAGGCGUUACCGGCAGAAGAAGCACCGGCUAACUCCGUGCCAGCAGCCGCGGUAAUUC